AUUGAACGCUGGCGGCAGGCCUAACACAUGCAAGUCGAGCGGUAGAGAGAAGCUUGCUUUUCUUGAGAGCGGCGGACGGGUGAGUAAUGCCUAGGAAUCUGCCUGGUAGUGGGGGAUAACGUUCGGAAACGGACGCUAAUACCGCAUACGUCCUACGGGAGAAAGCAGGGGACCUUCGGGCCUUGCGCUAUCAGAUGAGCCUAGGUCGGAUUAGCUAGUUGGUGAGGUAAUGGCUCACCAAGGCGACGAUCCGUAACUGGUCUGAGAGGAUGAUCAGUCACACUGGAACUGAGACACGGUCCAGACUCCUACGGGAGGCAGCAGUGGGGAAUAUUGGACAAUGGGCGAAAGCCUGAUCCAGCCAUGCCGCGUGUGUGAAGAAGGUCUUCGGAUUGUAAAGCACUUUAAGUUGGGAGGAAGGGCAGUAAAUUAAUACUUUGCUGUUUUGACGUACCG
rnacentral:rRNA from 1 species